GACGAACGCUGGCGGCGUGCUUAACACAUGCAAGUCGAACGGAAAGGCCCUGCUUUUGUGGGGUGCUCGAGUGGCGAACGGGUGAGUAACACGUGAGUAUCCUGCCCUUGACUUUGGGAUAACUUCAGGAAACUGGGGCUAAUACCGGAUAGGUGCUCCUGCUGCAUGGUGGGGGUUGGAAAGUGUCGGCGGUUGGGGAUGGACUCGCGGCUUAGCAGCUUGUUGGUGGGGUAGUGGCUUACCAAGGAAUUGACGGGUAGCCGGCCUGGGAGGGUGACCGGCCACAUAGGGACUGGGGAGGGGCCCGGGCGCAUACGGGGGCAAGGGGUGGGGAAUUGUGCACAAUGGGCGGAGGCCUGAUGGAGCAACGCCGCGUGCGGGAGGACGGCCUUCGGGUAGUAAAACGAUUUCGCCUAUGACGAGGCGUGAGUAAGGGAAAUGGGGAAAGAAGCACCGCCAACUACGUG
rnacentral:rRNA from 1 species